rnacentral:lncRNA from 1 species
GGUUUUCCAACUUUGGUACACUUUUUUGGAGAAUUUUUGCGCAAUAUAUUUUUGUACGAUAAAGCAUUGCUUUAUGAUGUUGCACAGUCACCUUAUUACAUGGUUGUCUCUAAACAUGUACUUCUCACUUAUUUUAUUUUUUAAUAAAAAACGGAUAGGGAAUUUACCAAAAAAAAAAAACAUUACAACCUUAUAUAAACAUUUUUUUUCAAUAGAAAAAGUGGUUUGGAAAUUUAUGAGGAAUUUUUAAGUAGAUUUUACAAGAUAGAGAGUUUGAAUAAGUUGCCAACUAAAAAUUAACGUGCCACCCUCUCCUUACAAGAUAACAUGCCUUCAUGAAACCUUCGUCC